GUAUUAGCAGUACUAUUGGUUUGCAUCAGUUUUAUUGUAAGUAAUCAUUUGUGGAAUCAUUUUCUGCUUCACAGGUCCCUCUAAACAAUAUGUUUGGGUACUCAACAUCACUUCGUUCAAUGACUCAGGGGAAAGGUGAAUUCACAAUGGAAUACAAAGAGCAUUCACCGGUUUCUCAAGAUGUGCAGCUGCAAUUAGUGAACACCUACAAGGCCAAUAAGGCAGCUGAAAAUAGUUAGGAUUCUGCUGUGACUUUUUGAGGAACACGUCCCUACAUUCAUAGUGUAAGCCAUCUCUUAUUUUUUUAUAUUUAUCCGGGCCAAAAGUGUUCUGGUCUCUAAAUUUU